rnacentral:rRNA from 1 species
AGUGAACGCUGGCGGUAGGCCUAACACAUGCAAGUCGAACGGCAGCACAGUAAGAGCUUGCUCUUACGGGUGGCGAGUGGCGGACGGGUGAGGAAUACAUCGGAAUCUACUUUUUCGUGGGGGAUAACGUAGGGAAACUUACGCUAAUACCGCAUACGACCUACGGGUGAAAGCAGGGGAUCUUCGGACCUUGCGCGAUUGAAUGAGCCGAUGUCGGAUUAGCUAGUUGGCGGGGUAAAGGCCCACCAAGGCGACGAUCCGUAGCUGGUCUGAGAGGAUGAUCAGCCACACUGGAACUGAGACACGGUCCAGACUCCUACGGAAGGCAGCAGUGGGGAAUAUUGGACAAUGGGCGCAAGCCUGAUCCAGCCAUACCGCGUGGGUGAAGAAGGCCUUCGGGUUGUAAAGCCCUUUUGUUGGGAAAGAAAAGCAGCAGGUUAAUACCCGGCUGUUCUGACGGUACCCAAAGAAUAAGCACCGGCUAACUUCGUG